rnacentral:rRNA from 1 species
UACGUAAGGGGCUAGCGUUGUCCGGAAUCAUUGGGCGUAAAGAGCGUGUAGGCGGUCCGGUAAGUCCGCUGUGAAAGUCGGGGGGCUCAACCCUCGGAUGCCGGUGGAUACUGUCGGGCUUGAGUACGGAAGAGGCGAGUGGAAUUCCUGGUGUAGCGGUGAAAAUGCGCAGAUAUCAGGAGGAACACCAAUUGCGAAGGCAGCUCGCUGGGACGUUACUGACGCUGGAGACGCGAAAGCGUGGGGAGCAAACAGG